AGGAGCGGGGAGGAGCGGCGGCGGUCCCGGCCCGGGUGGCGGUCCCGGCCCGGGCGGCCCUGAGGCCCGGGCGUAAACGGCCUGUUGGCGGGGGUCAUGCCCCCCCGGGCGGCGUGCGUUGUCCCCGGCCGCCCUCUGUAAUACUUCCAGCCGCCGUACCGUCAAUAUUUGGCAGGUGAGGUGGGAGGGGCCUGGGUUUGCACCCCUGGGGCAGGGAGAGCAGGUGCCUGGUGCGGAGGUGGGGGAAGGCCGGUCAAGAUGGAUCCUGCCUUCCCCCACCCCUACGCCCAGUCCUGUGAGGUGAGCCUGGCCCUCUUUCCUCUCCAGUGGUUGCCUCUGCCAGCAUAAGGAGAGCAGCACCAUCUGUCUUCUGCUUUCCUUUUUCCAAGUCCUACAUGCUUCACAAAUUGCCAGCGUUCAGCCUACAAGUAGCACUCCAUACAGUGUGAUUUGCCUUUUUUUUUUUUUUUAAAUUCUUCCACUGCUCCAUUGCUGUUUUGUCCACUAUGAAGAGCAGCAAAGAAUGAGUGGAGUUGAGGUCCAAGAGAGAAGAUCAGAUCACUUUAAAAGGAAGGAGGGAGGGAGAGAAUGAAAAUAUAACUUCUCAGCCCUCUUCCCGAUUUUUCAUGCAAAAAGGUUAAUAGCUGAAGGAUAUGCUCUGGCCCACAUGUUUCACCAGCGCAGGAGGUGGCAGGUUUCAGGACUAGAGCAGCCAUGGGUAGGUUCCAGCACGGCAAGUUCUGUGUUCCUUUGAUUAAGAGACUGGGUGCAAAGGGCCAACCAGCCAGUCAAUUUUGGGGAAUAAAUCCAGAAACAAAAAGGAAUUGAAGCAAUCCAUUCCUUUUGAAGAUAAAGGUGAGGUGGUACACGUGUCACCCUAAUUGCUGAGCAUCUCUGUAUUGCCUGCGUUACGUUCGCAGGUCAAAUGCAGUGUGAAGGCAAUGUGAAAAUCUAACUGCCAAGGCAUCUGGGCUGUGUCAGAAAGACUUGCUGCUCUCUGCUUUCUUGGAGCUAAAAGAAAAUUCAGUAAGUUGCUGAGUUGAAUGCUUCAUCCUCCUCUCUCACAAGCUUCUGGAGGUGACAGAUGUUUCCUCAGGGCCUGUUAUUUUAGACACCUCCAUGAUUUAUAUAUCUCUGUGAGCCUGGUGGGUGGAAUUGGAUGUCACAGACGAGCUGAAAAUAACUUGUAUACUCAGACUCUGAUAUCUACUGGCCCAUGUAGAAAACUCGGAGAGCAAAUUAAAUCACAUUAUAUGUGCCUGGCAGAUGCAUUGAGAUGUACAGAUGGAGCAAUGGUGGGUUAAAGUGAAGUUGAAAUGUUCUGUGGAGAGCACUGGCAAGGACUCUGCAAUAACAUUGUGCACAGCAGAACCACCGUGGCUUAGCCCUCAUGAUUGUUUUGUUAAGAUCUGCAGUACCAUACAGAGGAAAAAUUCAUAUUUAGAACAAUACGUAAUUCCCCGUGUGAUCAUGAUGUAGACUGGGACAGAAUGCCUUCGGCCUCUACGUGCGAGGCUCAGGAAGAUACCUGGACAGAUGGCCUUGCAGAGCUGCUCUUGGGUCUGCCUGAGAUACCCCAGUCCAGCGAUACACCAUGUUGUGUCCCGGUCCGAGACUCACAGCCCCACUCUUGCAGGAGGAAAAUGCUGCAUCUUUGGAAAACCUUGGUGAAAUUUUAAGUGGCACAACAGGAGUAGAACCCAAGGCCUUCUGCUGGUUCACUGUUACCCAGCACAUUUUGGACUUGUCUGUCCAAAACUUUGGAUGAUGUCAGUGAGAUGAGUGGUGUAAAAUUGCCGUUCUGUCUGGGAGAUGUUAGAUCCAUUUGCUUUUGCAAUGUCCUGAUGUGUGUGGCCGUACAGGAGUGUGGCAGCAACUCCUCUAAUCUUCAGCCUAUUACUGUAGUGGAAAAAAUAACAUAGAAAUAUCAUGUAAUUUAUUUUUUUUUAAAUUGUGGGUUUAAAAAAAAAAAAAGGCCUCCCAAUUCUCCUAUCACUAGUUGCAGUCCAGGAAACUUUGUGUUUAUUAAGCACUGUGUAAAUUUGCAGCUCUCUAUAAAUGUAAAAUCAAUAGCAAUGAUAACAGCAGCGAAGUGCUUAGUCCAGCUCUGGUAAUAACCCAAGACUGCUAACUUGAUAAGGUUACUAGCUUUACACGGGCACCUCCUCUCCAUGUGAAAGCACAGGGUGCAGAACAGAAGAUCCUUGUGUUCCCUGACAAGAAGGGAAACAGUGAAAACAUGUAAUUUCAGUCAGUGACAAUGGCAGGCAACAACCUGAAGGACUCUCUUAAAAUCUAUUGUGGGGGCCUUAGCCCCUCCACGGAGUGCUGCAAACAGAUUUCCUCUUCUAGGAAAUUAAAAUCUUAACAAACAUCU